UCCCCAGUCCCUCCUAAGUCUUAUUCUAACCGGCCCCUUUCCAUAUUCGCAGCUUCUUUCUCCAGCAAUGAGAAACCUGCUCUGGGUUACUUAUUUGUUCAGUCUUAGAACACUCAAAAAGUAGUUUCGGAAUUGCUCACACAUCCGCCUGUGAAAAACAAACCUAGAAGCAACCAGUUGUUCGUGUCACCUAUUCAGCGCCAAGCGUGGGUGCUCUUUGGCAGAAAAGGAGAAAGAGAACGAUAAAAUCAGAACUCGCUCACCGGAAGGAGAGUGUACGCCUCCCUGGCAUGCAGAGUCUGCCCUGAGGACCAGGCUGAAGGAACCGCAUGAUCUAAUUGCAUGGAGAACAGCUGGAGGCAGAGACCAAAGGCCACUCAUGCUGCCCUUGUGACGCCCUAAGGGAGGAGCCCGCCUCCAUUCCCCAAACAGCCCAUGGUGGGGGACAGCAGCAGACAGACCUGGCAGGCGGACGGCACUGAGUCCAGAGGGAGCAUCAGGGAGGAGCCCAUGGCCAUGAGAAAGAGAGAGGCAGCCCUGGCCGUGCCUGGAGACACUCGGUGAUGACUUUGCUGCUGGGAGUUGCUGUUGGUGCCUGGUAAAGGGCCAAAGGGCCAGCGCUGCUGACUCUCCUGCCAUGCACAGAACAGGAACUUUCUUCAUCUGGGGAGAAAGGGUGUUCCUUCCUGUUCCGACAGGUGACUCAGACCCAAGUCAACUUGGCCACUGCCUCUGGCCUCUGUGGAAACCCCCAGAGGAGCCCCGUUCGUCCAGGUACUUCCUGAUCAUAUGCUCUCACAGAUGCUUCUCUGGACUCUGUGCUAUUCUGUGCCUUUUGCUGGUCUGUACUUCACUGUGGCUUCUCGGAUCAAAGCUGCUAUUUGGGAAUGUGCAGUUGUCACCACCCCUGCAGUUGUGCCACGUUCACACUUGAAAUGUGAAGUCAACGCUGUCUGCCUGGAGCCCAGCUGCCCUGCUCUGGACUUGCUGCUGAAAGAUGUCUGAGCCCUGGAACACAAGGCAUCUCCUGCUGUCUUGUGAUAUGCUACAAACAAAAUACGGGCACCCUCGAGGGUCUCGGUGGCCUCUCUCCCCGCCUCUGCCACAGCUAUGCUUCCUGUGGACUGGCGGGGUUCGGGUUCGCUGGCUCUCUGAGCAGCACCUAGCUUAGGCACCGCUGGACGACGCCCCCUCCCCCACCGUCUGUGUCUGAGUUCUGUCCCCAAAUCACCCUCUUUGCCCCUCGGUGCCGUGUAGCCACUUCCUGCGCACUAUUUGUUGCUUAAAUGGCACAGUCAGAAUAACACUUUAAACAGCUUCUCCUGCUCUAAAGUAGUUUUCCUUUGCAGGCCUAUUUCUUCUCUGAGUGUUGGAGUUUUGUACUCUGAAAAUGCAGGUUAGGUGCCUGACAAUGCUCGGAGUCCCUUCCUUGGCUAGGAAAAGAAUCGGAAUCGCUUGCCUCUGCGAGUCCUGAGCAUCAGGCACCAGGCUAAACUCUGUGUGUCCUUGAUCAUCUUAUGUAACCCCCACCCCCACCCCGCAGCCUGGGGAGCAAGCUGUGUUAUUACCCUCGCUGUACAGAUUGGGGAUAUUGGCUCCAGGUCACCUAGACUGUGAGGGGCUAGAAAUCACACACUUGUCCUCCACCAGGACCAGCCCCUGGGGCAGCUAACAGUGUG
ensembl:lincRNA